ACGAACGCUGGCGGCGUGGAUAAGACAUGCAAGUCGAACGGAUUCAUAUGAGAUUAUAUCAAGUGUGGGUCAGUGGCGGACGGGUGCGUAACACGUGAGUAAUCUGCCGGAAGGAGGGGGAUAGCCCAUGGAAACGUGGAUUAAUACCCUGUGUGGCUUCAACAGGCAUCUGUUGAAAGCCAAAGGUGGCGCAAGCUGCCGCCUUCCGAUGAACUCGCGGCCUAUCAGCUUGUUGGCGGGGUAACGGCCCACCAAGGCGAUGACGGGUAGCUGGUCUGAGAGGAUGACCAGCCACACUGGAACUGAGACACGGUCCAGACACCUACGGGUGGCAGCAGUCGAGAAUCAUUCACAAUGGGCGAAAGCCUGAUGGUGUGACGCCGCGUGGAGGAUGAAGGUCUUCGGAUUGUAAACUCCUGCCAUGUGAGAGUAAGGUGCGAGGAGUAACUGCCGGUGCACUUGAGAGUAUCACAAGAGGAAGAGG
rnacentral:rRNA from 1 species